UAACACAUGCAAGUCGAGCGGGGAUUGGGUGCUUGCACCUAAUCUUAGCGGCGGACGGGUGAGUAAUGCUUAGGAAUCUGCCAUUUAGUGGGGGACAACAUUCCGAAAGGGAUGCUAAUACCGCAUACGUCCUACGGGAGAAAGCAGGGGAUCUUCGGACCUUGCGCUAAAUGAUGAGCCUAAGUCGGAUUAGCUAGUUGGUGGGGUAAAGGCCUACCAAGGCGACGAUCUGUAGCGGGUCUGAGAGGAUGAUCCGCCACACUGGGACUGAGACACGGCCCAGACUCCUACGGGAGGCAGCAGUGGGGAAUAUUGGACAAUGGGCGCAAGCCUGAUCCAGCCAUGCCGCGUGUGUGAAGAAGGCCUUUUGGUUGUAAAGCAAUUAAGCGAGGAGGAGGAUACCUGGAUUAAUACUCUAGGAUAGUGGACGUUACUCGCAGAAUAAGCACCGGCUAACUCUGUGCCAGCAGCCGCGGUAAUACAGAGGGUGCGAGCGUUAAUCGGAUUUACUGGGCGUAAAGCGUGCGUAGGCGGCUGAUUAAGUCGGAUGUGAAAUCCCUGAGCUUAACUUAGGAAUUGCAUUCGAUACUGGUCAGCUAGAGUAUGGGAGAGGAUGGUAGAAUUCCAGGUGUAGCGGUGAAAUGCGUAGAGAUCUGGAGGAAUACCGAUGGCGAAGGCAGCCAUCUGGCCUAAUACUGACGCUGAGGUACGAAAGCAUGGGGAGCAAACAGGAUUAGAUACCCUGGUAGUCCAUGCCGUAAACGAUGUCUACUAGCCGUUGGGGCCUUUGAGGCUUUAGUGGCGCAGCUAACGCGAUAAGUAGACCGCCUGGGGAGUACGGUCGCAAGACUAAAACUCAAAUGAAUUGACGGGGGCCCGCACAAGCGGUGGAGCAUGUGGUUUAAUUCGAUGCAACGCGAAGAACCUUACCUGGCCUUGACAUAGUAGAAACUUUCCAGAGAUGGAUUGGUGCCUUCGGGAAUCUACAUACAGGUGCUGCAUGGCUGUCGUCAGCUCGUGUCGUGAGAUGUUGGGUUAAGUCCCGCAACGAGCGCAACCCUUUUCCUUACUUGCCAGCAUUUCGGAUGGGAACUUUAAGGAUACUGCCAGUGACAAACUGGAGGAAGGCGGGGACGACGUCAAGUCAUCAUGGCCCUUACGGCCAGGGCUACACACGUGCUACAAUGGUCGGUACAAAGGGUUGCUACCUAGCGAUAGGAUGCUAAUCUCAAAAAGCCGAUCGUAGUCUGGAUCGCAGUCUGCAACUCGACUGCGUGAAGUCGGAAUCGCUAGUAAUCGCGGAUCAGAAUGCCGCGGUGAAUACGUUCCCGGGCCUUGUACACACCGCCCGUCACACCAUGGGAGUUUGUUGCACCAGAAGUAGGUAGUCUAACCUUAGGGGGGACGCUUACCACGGUGUGGCCGAUGACUGGGGUG
rnacentral:rRNA from 1 species